AGGACAGAGCUGGGUCCCAGUCUGUCCACGGCCCCUUGCCUCCGACAGCAUGGCCUUGGUCCUGGCCCGGCUGCCCAGCACCUGGGCCUCUGGAUGGUGAUCUCGCCGACCCACAGGGCCACCCACGGUUCCUGCUGGCUCUCCCCUCAGCCGGUCCCCUCCUCCCCGGCACAGACAGGACCUGGAGCAGAGCCCGGGACACAGUUCUCACAGGACAGGCUGGCUGGGAGCAGGGACAGAGCCAUCUGGAGGGUCUCUGGGCCCUGAACUGCACUGGGGAGGGUCCUGUCUCUGAAAGGCUUCCCUGAGGCCCCUACUUAAGUCAGGGCUCAGCAAGAGGAAGGGCUGGUUAGAAAGUGAAAGGUGGCGGCUGCGUCCUCAGAGUGCGGGCUGCGUCCGUCCUGCAGAGGGCUUCUGGGAUCUCAGGCUCUUCCUCUAAAGGAAACCUGGUGUGGGGCGGCCACGGGAAGGAUGUGGGAACAGCAUCAGCCGGGCACUCGUGGUGCUGGUGGAGGCCUGGCCUCUGAGAUCUUCAGGAUGUCACUUGUCUCCUUGAUCUGAUCAACAGGUUGAGGUCCUGACCCUGCAUGUGAUGGUGUCGGGAGGCAGAGCCUGUGGGAGGGGACAAGGUCAUGACGUGGGCCCCCACGGGGGGUGUUAACUUCAAGCAGGGACCCCAGAGAACUCCCUGGCCAGUUUCCACCCCGUGAGGACAUCUGGGGAGCAGCAGCCCUCACCAGAGUGGGACCUCUGGGGCCUCCACCUUGGGCCUCAGCCUCCAGAGCGGUGAGCACCACAUUUCCUGCUCCUUGGCCACCAACGGGACCCAGCGGGACAGUGUGGCCUCAGAGCUGCAUUCAGCCCACGGCGGGAGCUCUCUGUGCAUUGACGGAGGGCAGGGCCACGGCCAGGCCUGUCCUGGCUGCCAGAGGGUCCCGGGUUGCUCUCACAGCAGGCCUGGCCCUGCAGACAGUAGAAGAACAUGAAAAACCAAAAGCCGGUUCCUGUUGACCUUGAGCUCCUGGAUCCAGCUGUACUUGAAGGAGGAAUGUCUGAGACUUUCAGAUACGAGAUACGGAGCUCCUGGCUCCCGCCCUGGGGUGGAGCCUGCGGUGCCCGGGCUUUCCCUGGGCCUCCCUCCCUCUCCAGCUCCGGCACUGCCUGGAACCCCAGCGUGGACCCCUCGCACAGGCCCCGAGGGAGGUCAGGACAGCCUCCCCCCGCCCUCCCCCCGCCCGCUGGGCUCCUGGGCGAUACAUCCUAAUGUAUAUUUAACAGUGGUUCAAAAUCGAAUUAAUUUAGCUGGUUAAUAAACUGUAACAUCCGUUUCUAAAUCGGGCACAUUUU